AUGUGGCUCAGGUGGUGUGUAGCCAUUUGCCUCCUGGAAGUAGGAUGCUCAGAUCCUCAGAUCAUUCAGCAAAAGAGCCUGAUCCUGCAGGAAGGCCAAGCUGCCCACAUGAAAUGUGAACAAACAAAGGGGCACAAUGCCAUGUACUGGUACCGGCAAGAUGCAGGGCAGGCUCUGCAGUGUCUCUUUGCAUUCCAGAGUAACGCACUGGUGUACACCAGUGACAAUCUCAAACGUUUCACAGCUGAGCAGUUCGGGACGAAAUACUGCCAGCUGAACAUUUCGCAUGUGAAGCGAGAGGACUCGUCGGUGUAUUUCUGCGCUAGCAGCCUGUGGGUGCUGGAGGAGGAAUUUGCCGGGGACAAUCAGCACAUGGGUCUGAAUCAUAGACCUCCAGAUUCUCUGCCUCCUCAGUAG